CUUCUACUCUUCUACAUUUGCACACACUGUACAUACAUUUUCUUAUUGUGUUAUUGACUGUACGUUUGUUUAUAUGUAACUCUGUGUAGUUGUUUUUGUGGCACUGCUUUGCUUUAUCUUGGCCAGGUCGCAGUUGUAAAUGAGAACAUGUUCUCAACUGGUCUACCUGGUUCAAUAAAGGUGAAAUAAAAAAAUUAAAUCGUAGGCUUUUAAGGACUCGAUUCAAUCGUCAAAGUUCAGCACUAUGGAGAGCCUGAAAUUUAAAAGUAAUUUCCGAUUGAGCCGACAUAUGCAGCGUUUAACAUGACUGCAGUCUUUGGUAAUGCAGUAACAUUGCCUUUAAAUGUCAAUCAUUUUCAGCGCUACAAAUUGAAUCAAGCCCGUAGUUGAGCAUUUCAUUUACAGUUCACGAAGUUUAGAGUUUGGGACUGUUUACCUUUUUACCUCUAGUGCCAUUCUGUUUUCAAGGAGAUAGACAAUUCUCCAUUCUCUCUUUACAAAAAAGAACGAGAGAAAAAGAGUUAGAAAGACAAUUUGCAAAAAAGAUUGAUUAAAUAUUAAUAUGUCAGUUGGUGAUAGAUUUUUCAUUUCAAAAUAUUUUGGGAACGUGGUCUAAACUAGAUCAAUAGCUGUGAAAAAUGGUUAAACCAACACUAGAAACUCAUCUGUUAUUUGUUGCAUCAGUUCUUCUGCUUUAAAAGAAAACAACAUGUUGAUUUGUUUGUUAUGAUCAGAGAUUCUGACCUGUUUAUAUCUGGGUUGAAUGUUCUUGUAAUGAAGAACAAUAAACCAGCUGUAUUAGAUAAAUAGUUACUCCACCGUGUCUCCUUAAACAGGUUAAGGAGAUAUGUUUCCUCUCUCCACUCUGGUAUACUUGGAUUUCAGGUGUGCAAGUGGAAUUGCUCAAGGGACCAGAAGCAGAUUGAGAUUCAAUUUUGAUAAGUGUGUGGAACUCAGAUCUGUGGAACUCGGGUCUGUGGAACUCAGGUCUGUGGAACUCAGGUCUGUGGAACUCAGAUCUGUGGAACUCGGGUCUGUGGAACUCAGGUCUGUGGAACUCGGGUCUGUGGAACUCGGGUCUGUGGAACUCGGGUCUGUGGAACUCGGGUCUGUGGAACUCGGGUCUGUGGAACUCAGAUCUGUGGAACUCGGGUCUGUGGAACUCGGGUCUGUGGAACUCAGGUCUGUGGAACUCAGGUCUGUGGAACUCAGGUCUGUGAAACUCAGGUCUGUGGAACUCGGGUCUGUGGAACUCGGGUCUGUGGAACUCGGGUCUGUGGAACUCUGGUCUGUGGAACUCAGGUCUGUGGAACUAAGGUCUGUGAAACUCAGGUCUGUGGAACUCAGAUUUGUGCUUGGUUUUAUUCCAAUUUUAGCACACUCAAGUCAGAAUAAUCAGUGAUAAUAAUACAAUAUCAGUGUGGUUUACACUAGUCCAUUGUGUCACUGUAGAAACCCUUCACUACUUACUGAAUGUAGCUAUAUUUAACUAGGAUAUAGUUAAAAGUGUGUGGAGUGACUAGGAAUGUCCCAAAAGGAAUGUUUAGCUGCAGACAAGGGGAGGAAAGUGUUUUUUGUUCUCCAGGUUUGUCUUACUUCUUUUCUCUGUUGUGUUUUCCUCCCUAGGGCUGUUCUAGAUUGACAGUUCCAACUGCUGUUCCACUUCCUUUUUUCUUCCCUUCUUUUCUGUCCCUUUUUUCUGAAUGUAAGCAUAUGGUUUUAAUAACUAAUGAUAAUUGGAUGCCAAAUAUGAAGGGAAACAUUUCUUCGUUCCAAUGAUAUACAGUGCCUUCGAAAAAUGUAUUCAGACCCCUUGACUUUUUCUACAUUUUGUUACGUUACAGCCUUAUUCUAAAAUUGAUCAAAUCGUUUUUUCCCUCCCAUCAAUCUACACAAAAUACCCCAUAAUGACAAAGCAAAAACAGGUUAAGAAUUGCUAGGCGUUCUGCUAGUGGGACAACUUCCUGUGAAACUGAAGGGCGUGCAAUUCACCAUGCUUCUACACCUGCAUUGCUGUUUGGUGUUUUUGGCUGGGUUUCUGUACAGCACUUUGUGGCAUCAGCUGAUGUAAGAAGGGCUAUAUAAAUAAAUGUGAUUUUAUAUAAAUAAUCAUAAAAAUGAUGGAUAUUAAACAUUUAGGUACAUACAAAUGUCUUAUAUCAGUUGAAAGCUUACAUUCCUGUUAAUCUAACUGCUCUGUCCGAUUUACAGUAGCAUUUACAGAGAAAACAUGCCAUUUGAUUGUUUGAGGACGGCGCCCCACAUCAAAAUAUUUUUCCACCGGCACAGGUUUCAUAAAUUCACAAAUAGUGAUUAAAUAUUCACUUACUUUUCCUCUGAUUUGUCAUCCAAAGGGUCUCAGGUAUAACAUGUAGUGUCGUUUUGUUAGAUAAAAUCCUUCUUUUUACCCCAAAAAGUCAGUUUAGUUGGCACAAUCGAUUUGAGUAAUCCAUUCGUUCAACAUUCAGAGAAAGGAAUCCGAAAAUCUACCCUUAAACUUUGUUUCAACAAGUUAAAAUAUGUUUCUGUUUACUCCUCAGAUAUUUCUUACGGAAAGAAGUAUGUUCAAUAGGAAACCGAUUUUAGCAGGCGUGUCUUGUCUUCAUGGCGCGCCCAAACACUAAUUUCCAAGACUGUGUCCCUGUACUAAAACUGAUAUUUCUUAUUUGUUUUGGAAGCUAAAAACCUGAAACCUUGAACAUAGACUGCUGACACCCUGUGGAAGUCAUAGGAAUUGCAUCCUGGGAGCUAGAAUUCAGUAUGCCCCUAUACUUUCCAUUGUAAGAACACUGUCUCUCAAAACAAAAUAUUCAGGUUGGUUUUUCUUUGGAUUUUCUCCUACCAUAUCUGUUGUGUUUUAUUCUCCUACAUUAUUUUAACAUUUCUACAAACUUCAAGGUGUUUUCUCUCCAAUGGUACCAAUUAUAUGCAUAUCCUGGCUUUAGGGCUUGAGCAACAGGCAGUUUACUUUGGGAACGUCAUUCAGGUGGAAAAUGAGAAAAAAGGGGCCUGCCCUAAGUUUUUAAGAAAUGUUUGCACAGUUAUUCCAAAUAAAAAACUGAAACAUUACAUUUACGUAGGUAUUCAGACCCUUUGCUCAGUACUUUGUUGAAGCACCUUUGGCAGCGAUUAAAGCCUUGAGUCUUGGGUAUAAUGCUAUAAGCUUGUCACAACUGCAUUUGGGGAGUUUCUCCUGUUCUUCUCUGCAGAUCCUCUCAAGCUCUGUCAGGUUGGAUGGGGAGCGUUGCUGCACAGCUAUUUUCAGGUCUCUCCAGAGAUGUUCGAUCGGCUUCAUGUCCAGACUCUGGCUGGGCCACUCAAGUACAUUCAGUGACUUGUCCCGAAGCCACUCCUGCGUUGUCUUGGCUGUGUGACUAGGGUCGUUGUCCUGUUGGAAAUCUGAGGUCCUGAGCGCUCUGGAGCAGGUUUUCAUCAAGGAUCUCUCUGUACUUUGCUCCAUUCAUCUUUGCCUCGAUCCUGGCUAGUCUCCCAGUCCCUGCCGCUGAAAAACAUCCCCACAGCAUGAUGCUGCCACCACCAUGCAUCAUCGUAGGGAUGGUGCCAGUUUUCUUCCAUACAUGACGCUUGACAUUUAGGCCAAAGAGUUCAAUCUUGGUUUCAUCACACCAGAGCAUCUUGUUUCUCAAUGUCUGAGAGUCUUUAGGUGCCUUUUGGCAAACUCCAAGCAGGCUGUUAUGUGCCUUUACUGAGUAGUGGCUUCUGUAUGCCACUCAAUCAUAAAGGCCUGAUUGGUGGAGUGCUGCAGAGAUGGUUGUCCUUCUGGAAGAUUCUCCCAUCUCCACAGAGGAACUAGAGCUCUGUUAGAGUGACCAUCAGGUUCUUGGUCACCUCACUGACCAAGGCCCUUCUCCUCCGAUAGCUCAGUUUGCUCUAGGAAGAGUCUUGGUGGUUCCAAACUGAAUUUAGCACAGGUGGACUCCAAUCAAGUUGUAGAAACUUCUCAAGUUCAAUCAAAGUUCAAAGAUCGAUGGAAACUAAGAUGCACCUGAGCUCAAAAAAAGCAAAAGGUCUGAAUAAGGUAUUUCUGUUAAACUUUUUAAAAUAAAUUUGCAAACAUUUCUAAAAAUCUGUUUUUCGCUUUGUCAUUAUGGGGUAUUGUGUGUAGACUGCUGAGGAAAACAAUGACUUUAAUCAAUUUAAGAAUAAGGCUGUAACGUAUCAAAAUGUGGAAAAAGUCAAGGGGUCUGAAUACUUUCCGAAGGCACUGUAUAGAAUGUCUCUGACUGUCAUAUAGUUGCAAAUUUUUUCACUAUUUCUGUUGUAUGAUAAAUGUGACUUCAGUUUUCCAGUCAAUUUAGCUGUGCAUCUGUACAACAUCUAUUAAUUAAAAACAUGUUGUAUUAAAGGAAUAUUCCAUACAUACAGUAUCUUGGGAUCUUGCACCAUUUUUUGGCAGGUGUUUUUGUAGGGUUUUGGUAAAUGUUUAGGAGGAUCUUGAGUAAGUAAAAUAAGGUUUUGGUAGGUUUUUUUGUAGGGUUUUGCUCUGUUUUUGGUAGGUGUUUACUAGGUUUUGGUCGUUUCUACUAGUGUUUUGGUAGGUGUUUAGUAGGGUUUAUAGUAGGUGUUUAGUAGGGUUUAUAGUAGAUGUUUAGUAGGGUUUAUAGUAGGUGUUUAGUAGGGUUUAUAGUAGGUGUUUAGUAGGGUUUAUAGUAGGUAUUUAGUAGGGUAUAUAAUAUGUGUUUAGUAGGGUUUAUAGUAGGUGUUUAGUAGGGUUUAUAGUUGAUGUUUAGUAGGGUUUAUAGUAGGUGUUUAGUAGGGUUUAUAGUAGGUGUUUAGUAGGGUAUAUAAUAUGUGUUUAGUAGGGUUUUGGUAGGUGUUUAGUCGUGUUUUGGUAGGUGUUUAGUAGGGUUUAUAGUAGGUGUUUAGUAGGGUUUAUAGCAGGUGUUUAGUAGUGUUUAUAGUAGGUGUUUAGUAGGGUUUUGGUAGGUAUUUAGUAGGGUAUAUAAUAGGUGUUUAGUAGAGUUUAUAAUAGAUGUUUAGUACGGUUUGUUGUAGAUCUUUAGUAUGGUUUUGGUAGGUAUUUAGGAGGGUUUAUAGUAGGUGUUUAGUAAGGUUUAUGGUAUGUGUUAAGUAGUGUUUAUAGUAGUUUGUUAAGUAGGGUUUAUAGUAGGUGUUUAGUAGGGUUUAUAGUAGAUGUUUAGUAGGGUUUAUAGUAGGUGUUUAGUAGGGUUUAUAGUAGGUGUUUAGUAGGGUUUAUAGUAGGUAUUUAGUAGGGUAUAUAAUAUGUGUUUAGUAGGGUUUAUAGUAGGUGUUUAGUAGGGUUUAUAGUUGAUGUUUAGUAGGGUUUAUAGUAGGUGUUUAGUAGGGUUUAUAGUAGGUAUUUAGUAGGGUAUAUAAUAUGUGUUUAGUAGGGUUUUGGUAGGUGUUUAGUCGUGUUUUGGUAGGUGUUUAGUAGGGUUUAUAGUAGGUGUUUAGUAGGGUUUAUAGCAGGUGUUUAGUAGUGUUUAUAGUAGGUGUUUAGUAGGGUUUUGGUAGGUAUUUAGUAGGGUAUAUAAUAGGUGUUUAGUAGAGUUUAUAAUAGAUGUUUAGUACGGUUUGUUGUAGAUCUUUAGUAUGGUUUUGGUAGGUAUUUAGGAGGGUUUAUAGUAGGUGUUUAGUAGGGUUUAUAGUAGGUGUUUAGUAGGGUUUAUAGUAGGUGUUUAGUAGGGUUUAUAGUAGGUGUUUAGUAGGGUUUAUAGUAGGUGUUUAGUAGGGUUUAUAGUAGUUUGUUAAGUAGGGUUUAUAGUAGGUGUUGAGUAGGGUUUAUAGUAGUUUGUUAAGUAGGGUUUAUAGUAGGUGUUGAGUAGGGUUUGUAGUAGGUGUUGAGUAGGGUUUGUAGUUGGUGUUGAGUAGGGUUUAUAGUAGGUUUAUGGUAGGGGAUUGGUAGGUGUUUAGUAGGGUUUAUAGUAGGUGUUGAGUAGGGUUUAUAGUAGGUGUUGAGUAGGGUUUGUAGUAGGUGUUGAGUAGGGUUUGUAGUUGGUGUUUAGUAGGGUUUAUAGUAGUUUGUUAAGUAGGGUUUAUAGUAGGUGUUUAGUAGGGUUUAUAGUAGAUGUUUAGUAGGGUUUGUAGUAAGUGUUGAGUUGGGUUUAUAGUAGAUAUUUGGUAGGGAUAAUAGUAGGUGUUUAGUAGGGUUUAUAGUUGGUGUUUAGUAGGGUUUGUAGUAGGUGUUUAGUAGGGUUUGUAGUAGGUGUUUAGUAGGGUUUAUAGUAGGUGUUGAGUAGGGUUUAUAGUAGGUGUUUAGUAGGGUUUAUAGUAGGUGUUUAGUAGGGUUUAUAGUAGGUAUUUAGUAGGGUAUAUAAUAUGUGUUUAGUAGGGUUUAUAGUAGGUGUUUAGUAGGGUUUAUAGUUGAUGUUUAGUAGGGUUUAUAGUAGGUGUUUAGUAGGGUUUAUAGUAGGUAUUUAGUAGGGUAUAUAAUAUGUGUUUAGUAGGGUUUUGGUAGGUGUUUAGUCGUGUUUUGGUAGGUGUUUAGUAGGGUUUAUAGUAGGUGUUUAGUAGGGUUUAUAGCAGGUGUUUAGUAGUGUUUAUAGUAGGUGUUUAGUAGGGUUUUGGUAGGUAUUUAGUAGGGUAUAUAAUAGGUGUUUAGUAGAGUUUAUAAUAGAUGUUUAGUACGGUUUGUUGUAGAUCUUUAGUAUGGUUUUGGUAGGUAUUUAGGAGGGUUUAUAGUAGGUGUUUAGUAAGGUUUAUGGUAUGUGUUAAGUAGUGUUUAUAGUAGUUUGUUAAGUAGGGUUUAUAGUAGGUGUUUAGUAGGGUUUAUAGUAGAUGUUUAGUAGGGUUUGUAGUAAGUGUUGAGUUGGGUUUAUAGUAGAUAUUUGGUAGGGAUAAUAGUAGGUGUUUUGUAAGGUUUAUAGUAGAUGUUUAGUAGGGUUUAUAGUUGGUGUUUAGUAGGGUUUAUAGUUGGUGUUUAGUAGGGUUUAUAGUAGGUGUUUAGUAGGGUUUAUAGUUGGUGUUUAGUAGGGUUUAUAGUAGGUGUUUAGUAGGGUUUAUAGUUGGUGUUUAGUAGGGUUUAUAGUUGGUGUUUAGUAGGGUUUAUAGUAGGUGUUUAGUAGGGUUUAUAGUUGGUGUUUAGUAGGGUUUAUAGUAGGUGUUUAGUCGGGAUUAAAGUUUAGUAAGUUUUAUAGUAGGGGAUUUGUAGGGUUUUGAAAGGUGUUUAGUCAGGUUUAUAGUAGGUGUUUCGUAGUACGUAGUGUCGGUGUUUAGUAGUUUUGUUAGUAGCUGUUUAGUAGAGAUUAUAGUAGGUCUUUAGUAGGGGUUAUAGAUGUUGUUUAGUAAGGAUUAUAGUAGGUGUUUACUAGGGAUUAGAGUUCGUGUUUAGUAAGGAUUAUGCUUGUUGUUUAGUAAGGAUUAUAGUAGGUGUUUACUAGGGAUUAGAGUUAGUGUUUAGUAGGGAUUAUGCUUGUUGUUUUGUUGGGUUUAUAGAAGGUGUUUAGUAGGGUUUAUAUUAGGUGUUACAUAGGGAUUAUAGUUGGUUUUUAGUAGUGUGUAUAGUAGUUGUUUAGUUGAGUUUUUGUAGGUGUUUAGUAGGGUUCAUAUUUGGUGUUUAGUAGGGUUUAUAGUAGAUGUUUAGUUGGGUUUAUUGUAGGUGUUUAGUCGGGUUUAUAGUACAUUUUUAGUAGGGUUUAUAGUAGGUGUUCAGUAAGGUUUUGGUAGGGCUUUAAUAUGGAUUAUGGUAGGUGUUUAGUAAGGUAUAUAGUAGGUGUUUUGUUGGGUUUAUGUAGUUGUUGUAUAGUAGGGUUGAUAGUAGCUGUUUAGUAGAGAUUAAUAUAGGUAUUUAGUAGCAUUUAUAGUGUGUGUUUAGUAGGGAUUAUAGUAUGUGUUUAGUCGGGGUUAUAGUUGGUGUUUAGUAGGGAAUAUGCUAGGUUUUUUGCUUGGUUUAUAGUAGGUGUUUAGUUGGGUUUAUAGUAGGUGUUUAGUAAGGUUUAUAGUAGGUGUUUAGGAGGGUUUAUUAUAGGUGUUUUGUAAGGUUUUAUUGUAGGUCUUAAAAACCUCUCUAGUGUACGUUUUGACGGUAGCGUCCCACCUGGCCAACAUCCAGUGAAAUUGCAGAGCGCGAAAUUCAAACUACAGAAUUGUAAAUAUUUAACAUUCUUGAAAAUCCACAUGCAAUAUGUCAAAUUAAAGCUUGACUUCUUGUUAAUCCAGCCACGGUGUCAGAUUUCAAAAAGGCUGAGGACAGCACCCCAUGAAACAAACACAGACAAUCAUAUUUCAUCCCGCCAGGCGUGACACAAAACUCAGAAAUAACGAUAUAAUUCAUGCCUUACCUUUGAAGAUCUUCUUUUGUUGGCACUCCAAUAUGUCCCAUAAACAUCACAAAUGGUCCUUUUGUUUGAUUAAUUCCGUCGUUAUAUCCAAAAUGUAAAUGUAUUAUUUGCCGCGUUUGAUCCAGAAAAACGCAACAUGACUACAAAAUACCUAAUAAUCUUUGUCCAAACAUUUCAAACAACUUUUCUAAUACAACUUUAGGCAUUUCUUAACUUAAAUAAUCGAAUCAAAUUUAAGACGAGAUAAACUGUGUUCAACACCGGAGGAAAACAAAGUGUAGCGAGCUUUCAGGUCACGUGCCUCUAUCAAACAGUACACUUCACUCUACCCUCGUUCUGAGCAGAGAUUGAGAGUAAGAGAGAGUGAGAGUAAGAGAGAAUGAGAGUAAGAGAGAAUGAGAGUAAGAGAGAGUGAGAGUGAGAGAGUGAGAGAGUAAGAGAGAGUGAGAGAGUAAGAGAGAGUAAGAGAGAGUAAGAGAGAGUAAGAGAGAGAGAGAGAGUAAGAGAGAAUGAGAGUAAGAGAGAGUGAGAGUGAGAGAGUAAGAGAGUGAGAGUGAGAGAGUGAGAGAGAGAGAAAGUAAGAGAGAGAGAGUAAGAGAGAGUAAGAGAGAGAGAGAGUAAGAGAGAAUGAGAGUAAGAGAGAGAGAGAGUAGAGAGAGAGUAAGAGAGAGAGAGAGAGAGAGAGAGAGUAAGAGAGAAUGAGAGUAAGAGAGAGUGAGAGUGAGAGAGAGAGAGUAAGAGAGUUAGUUUGGAGCGAGCAGUCGCACCACGCUUCGCUCCACAGGUAAUAUUACACUUCACUACAUUACAACGGCUUGAUUUGUUUGAUCUGAGCAAUUCUUCUUAGCUAGCUACAUAGCCGUCUUUGUAUCAAAGAUACUUGUGUAGUUUAGAGUAAUUGAGUAAUUAUCGAGGCUAGCUAUCUUCGUCCUCCUAACGUAGUCAACACUGCUAGCUGCUAGCUAGCUAGUCAUCACUGCUAGCUAGCCAACUUCU
rnacentral:lncRNA from 1 species